AUGGAAAGCUGCAUGUGCCAAAGUGGGAAAUUGCAUACUAGGGAUUGCUUCUUUCUCUGUUUUUCCAUCAAGUUACAAUAUAGAGUGGGGUGGGAUCAGGUGGCUUUCAUGCAACAGUUUACAUUCCCUUGGCUUUCAUCCUUCAUCCAAGGAGUAGUUAAGGUUUCUAGUAAGUUUAAAAUGCUUGAAAGAUUAUGUCCAUUUUUAUCUUCUAAGAUGAGUCAGAAACUUGAGGCCUGUUCUGACAAUGCCAGAUUCCAAGCUCUAAUGAGCCCCAGACAGCGUAGGUAAUGUCUGGAAUGAUGGGAACUGUAGUCCACCAACAGGUCCACAGGUUUACCCAGGUUGCCUGUUACAAAUGCUCCGAGGUGCAAAACUAUUUCACAAAUGUGGCCCCUCCCAGUUGGUGCUUCUGUGCAACUGCUGAGCAACACAACUUGUGCACUGGUGUAGGAAGCACAACAUGUGCUAGGGAAUUAUUCAAAGAGGAGAAGCAACUUCCCAACUAGGAAAUGACAGCUCUCAUUCUUAUAUAUAGUAACAGGACAAGAAGAGAAGUAGCUUUCCCAAUUUCCAAGCAGAGGCAGUUUUCUAAGUUUUCUAAAUUGUGAAGUGGGUUGAAGAGGAAUUGCUUUUUCUCUACACAGUCUGAUCAUGGGUGGGAAUUACCUGACCCUUCAGUUGUUGGACUACAACUUCCAGCAGCCCUAGCUAUCACAGCCAAUGGUGAGGAAUGCUGGGAGUUGCAGUUUAACAGCUUCUGGAGGGCCUCAUGAUAACAACUGGUCUAUAAUGUUUUAUAGCUUGAACUCAUUGCAAAGGAAUAGUAAAUACCAGUUCAUGAGGCUACCAUAGAUGUCUCUGCUGAGAAAUGCUUUUCAGUGCAUAAAAUUAUAGAAAGAUAAGGACAACAAAACUUCACAUUACCAAAAAAAUCUUACAGAGGCCAUAUAAUCUAAUGUUAAAAACCUGGAUAGUAUGAAAUGCUAGAUUGUAUUCCAACUGAUAGUCCCAAUUAGAAUCAACUUAUUGUGUUAACUGACCUUAUUUAUUAAGUUUGUUGCUAUUCAAGGGAUCUACUUUGGUGGAAAUAACUGUUGGACUUAAGCCUAAAGUUGUGAGCAAUUUGGAUUAUAAUAAUUUGGAUAAUAUCAUAGCCAGAAUAGGUGGUGUGGGUUUUCUUUACAAGAUUAGUUUUACAUCAUGAAUAUGUUAUAAUUAUCAUAAAUAUUAGUUGAAAGCUGCUGCAUUCCUCUGUCAUUGUUGACAUCCAUAUUGAUGACAAUAUGGACAUAACCAUGUUAUUCAUUUUUACUCUGAAAACUUAAUAUAUUUAAGUGAUUGGAUUAUGUGUUAUGUCUGGUGAGCUACAGCCGGCUGUAUAAAGUCUCAUAAAUUAUUUUGUGUUUAGCACUUUUUGUUCACAAAUGACAUUCUGUAUUCCCAAUUGUUUGUUGAAUAUUUAAUUUGAAGCAGCUUCGACUUGCAUGAAUGAAUUAUCAUGUAUUUAUGACAUCUCUGCUACAUGGGGCAUUUGGAGAAUUGUUGCCAAAGGCUGCAGCCUGAUCACAUUGUCUCAACAUUUAGAAGACAGUUGAAUUAAAUUAGAAUGGUCUUUUCUAGUGUUUUGUAAAAGUGUUGAUCUUGAGCCACUUCCUACCUGCAUAGCACAGAAAUUACAAAAAAGAAUACUCCAAGGAGAAACAUUAAGAAAAUAAUGUGCUGUCCAAAUGUAGGUAGACUAAAUGCAAGAAUGACCAUUGACUUUAAAUAUUUUGAAGGAGAGAGCAAGUCUCAAAUUUGGUUAGAUAUAAGCAAGUAAUGGC
rnacentral:lncRNA from 1 species